rnacentral:rRNA from 1 species
GCCUUGAAAUACCACCCUUUAAUGUUUGAUGUUCUAACGUGGACCCGUGAUCCGGGUUGCGGACAGUGUCUGGUGGGUAGUUUGACUGGGGCGGUCUCCUCCUAAAGAGUAACGGAGGAGCACGAAGGUUGGCUAAUCCUGGUCGGACAUCAGGAGGUUAGUGCAAUGGCAUAAGCCAGCUUGACUGCGAGCGUGACGGCGCGAGCAGGUGCGAAAGCAGGUCAUAGUGAUCCGGUGGUUCUGAAUGGAAGGGCCAUCGCUCAACGGAUAAAAGGUACUCCGGGGAUAACAGGCUGAUACCGCCCAAGAGUUCAUAUCGACGGCGGUGUUUGGCACCUCGAUGUCGGCUCAUCACAUCCUGGGGCUGAAGUAGGUCCCAAGGGUAUGGCUGUUCGCCAUUUAAAGUGGUACGCGAGCUGGGUUUAGAACGUCGUGAGACAGUUCGGUCCCUAUCUGCCGUGGGCGCUGGAGAACUGAGGGGGGCUGCUCCUAGUACGAGAGGACCGGAGUGGACGCAUCACUGGUGUUCGGGUUGUCAUGCCAAUGGCACUGCCCGGUAGCUAAAUGCGGAAGAGAUAAGUGCUGAAAGCAUCUAAGCACGAAACUUGCCCCGAGAUGAGUUCUCCCUGACCCUUUAAGGGUCCUGAAGGAACGUUGAAGACGACGACGUUGAUAGGCCGGGUGUGUAAGCGCAGCGAUGCGUUGAGCUAACCGGUACUAAUGAACCGUGAGG